rnacentral:rRNA from 1 species
GACGAACGCUGGCGGCGUGCUUAACACAUGCAAGUCGAACGGAAAGGCCCUGCUUUUGUUGGUUUCUCGAUUGCCGAAGGGGGGAGUAACACGUGAGUAACCUCCCCUUAUCUUUGGGAUAACUUCUGGAAACUGGGGCUAUAACCGGGUAGAAGCUCUUGCUCCAUGUGGGUGGUUGGAAAGUUUCGGCGGUGGGGGCUGGACUGGCGGCUUAUGAGCUUGUUGGGGGGGUAGUGGCUGACCAAGGCUUUGACGGGUAGCCGGCCUGAGAGGGUGACCGGCCACAAGGGGACUGAGAUACGGACCAGUAGCGUACGGGAGGCAGCAGGGGGGAAUAUUGCAGAACGGCGGGGAGCCUGAUGCAGAAACGCCGCGUGCGGGAUGACGGCCUUCGGGGUGAGAACAAAUGUCGAAUGUGACGAAGAGUGAGUGACGGUAAUGGGUAAAGAAGCACCGGCUAACUACGUG